GACGAACGCUGGCGGCGUGCUUAACACAUGCAAGUCGAACGGUAAGGCCCCUUCGGGGGUACACGAGUGGCGAACGGGUGAGUAACACGUGAGCAACCUGCCCUUGACACUGGAAUAACAGUUGGAAACAGCUGCUAAUACCGGGUAUGACCUUUCACCGCAUGGUGGGGGGUGGAAAGCCCUGGCGGUCAAGGAUGGGCUCGCGGCCUAUCAGCUAGUUGGUGAGGUAAUGGCUCACCAAGGCUUCGACGGGUAGCCGGCCUGAGAGGGCGACCGGCCACACUGGGACUGAGAUACGGCCCAGACUCCUACGGGAGGCAGCAGUGGGGAAUAUUGCACAAUGGGCGAAAGCCUGAUGCAGCAACGCCGCGUGCGGGAUGACGGCCUUCGGGUUGUAAACCGCUUUCAGUAGGGACGAAGCUAACGUGACGGUACCUACAGAAGAAGCACCGGCCAACUACGUGCCAGCAGCCGCGGUGAUACGUAGGGUGCGAGCGUUGUCCGGAAUUAUUGGGCGUAAAGGGAUUGUAGGCGGUCCGUCGCGUCGGAAGUGAAAACUCAGGGCUUAACCCUGAGCCUGCUUCCGAUACGGGCGGACUAGAGGUAUGCAGGGGAGAACGGAAUUUCCUGGUGGAGCGGUGGAAUGCGCAGAUAUCAGGAGGAACACCGGUGGCGAAGGCGGUUCUCUGGGCAUUACCUGACGCUGAGAAUCGAAAGCGUGGGGAGCAAACAGGCUUAGAUACCCUGGUAGUCCACGCCGUAAACGGUGGGCACUAGGUGUGGGGGACAUUCCACGUUCUCCGUGCCGAAGCUAACGCAUUAAGUGCCCCGCCUGGGGAGUACGGCCGCAAGGCUAAAACUCAAAGGAAUUGACGGGGGCCCGCACAAGCGGCGGAGCAUGCGGAUUAAUUCGAUGCAACGCGGAGAACCUUACCUGGGUUUGACAUAUGCCGGAAAGCUGCAGAGAUGUAGCCCCCGCAAGGUCGGUAUACAGGUGGUGCAUGGCUGUCGUCAGCUCGUGUCGUGAGAUGUUGGGUUAAGUCCCGCAACGAGCGCAACCCUCGUCCUAUGUUGCCAGCGGGUAAUGCCGGGGACUCAUAGGAGACUGCCGGGGUCAACUCGGAGGAAGGUGGGGAUGACGUCAAGUCAUCAUGCCCCUUAUGUCCAGGGCUUCACGCAUGCUACAAUGGCUGGUACAAAGGGCUGCGAGACCGCAAGGUUAAGCGAAUCCCAAAAAGCCAGUCUCAGUUCGGAUUGGGGUCUGCAACUCGGCCCCAUGAAGUCGGAGUCGCUAGUAAUCGCAGAUCAGCAACGCUGCGGUGAAUACGUUCCCGGGCCU
rnacentral:rRNA from 1 species